CUAUUUUCUUUUAAGUUCAGAUAUGCUAGGCCGGACCAACAAAAAUAGAGCACACUUUAAACAAGAUCAGUGGUGAAGCAUCUGACUGAUUGCAUUGGUCGGUUAACCCAGAGAGAAACGAAAAUGGUGGCCGAAUUCAGUGUUCGUUUCUUACAUUUCCAGACAUGUUUAUGAAAGUUAGUGAAUGUGAAAUCGUUCAUUUUGACAUGUGGGAUUGAGAUUGAACAAAUGCCCAGUCCUCAAUGCGACGAUGAGUGCCAACGCGAAACAACGAGUAAUAAUGAAAGCCACCGGCUAUUUGGGAUUUGCAUGCAUGGCAUGGUAUGUGGUGCAAAGCAGGUUGGAGGAACCCAAAGACAAGACCAAGACGUUCGACGAUGCCAAGAGUUACGAAAAAAAGCUUAUGAUGGAAAGAUUGCUCAGUGGCAAAGGCUACACUGACCUUAAAGAAUACAAAAACGACACGCUUGCGUCCAAAAAAGACCUCCUAGAAAAGUUUACGGAAGACUUGCCCAAGAGCAACAACGAAAAGUGAUAAUGACAGUAUAUCAAUUAGUGACACGUUGGUAGUAAAAUUAUGAAAAAUAAAAGUGCGGAGAUUUGUUUUUA